ACAGUUUCAGUUUGUAUUUUGUUUGUAGUUUCGUACAGUGCAGGGUAACUGGGUUACUGAUUAAUUUCGUAAGUUUUGGCAGUUGCAGUGCGUUAAAAAGUGAAUAAAAUUGAAAAAAAAAUAUGGCAAGCAACUUUUACAUAUUGAAUGUCAACAUGCACAUAAAUGGACACACGAUAGCGAAGACAAUCCUAGUGAAAUGGACGCUGUAUCAUGAAGGAAUUCAAAAGAUCAUCACUUGCUGUAUAGCGUUGUUCUUUCUCGCAGGUCUUUUUACUUUCACCGUCUGUUAACAGAGCGCAACGUUUACAAACCUGGCUCGCCAAAUAAAUGUGAUUUUCAGCGAGUGUGAGUUUAGCAGUGCAGGCUGACACCAAGUUUGGACAUCAUAUGAGUUGAGACUUGAGAAUCAUAUUCAUCCUAUUAUGCAAAUGAGUUUUUUCUCAAUAAUUGGUACGAAAAACCUCAGUUCUCUUCUUAAAAUAUGCAACAAAAAAGAUUAGAUCCAGACUUUGGAAGAAAGUGGAAUGGGAAGAAGGGAAGUGGGAAUUUCAUCCUAAUUUUCUAGCCUGAAGUACACUUCUUUAAUUUCUAAAUGUGUAUUAUUUACUAGCUGAUACAGCUUAUUUAUCAUUUUUUAAAUAGGAAUUCCAGUAUCAGAGCAAUAUACAGGGUGAUUCAAAAAGAAUACCACAACUUUAGGAAUUUAAAACUCUGCAACAACAAAAGGCAGAGCUAAGCACUAUCUGUCGGCAAAUUAAGGGAGCUAUAAAGUUUCAUUUAGUUGUACAUUUGUUCGCUUGAGGCGCUGUUGAC